rnacentral:lncRNA from 1 species
ACAAGUAUUUUGAACGUAUGGAAGCACUCUCAAGUAAUACUAAACUAACUAAAUCAACCAUUAAAGCAAAUACACAUGCCUAUAUAUAGUAAAGUUGCAGUUUCUAUCUACUAAUUGAUUUAAAAAUCAUUGUACAUUAAGAAUUGAAUGUAUGAUAAAUUUAUCGGUUGAAUAGUCAUAUAUUGUCAAUCAAUCAUAAAUUCUGUUGUUAUUAGUAGAACUUUUAAGGUAGUUAUUAUAAAAAUUAACAAAUCUAUCAUAUAUGAUGAUUUGUAACUCAAUGAUAAUGUACAAUUAUUUUACAUUGUCAAUGCAUAACCUAUGUUUUCUACAUGCGUGUGGGAGCACGUGCAUGUAUAUAUACCUGCCACAUCUCAACAGCCGUGAUGUCGCGUACUCCAUUUACGUUGAGAAGCAGGACAGCUAAGUAGCCAGGGUUUUUGCUGCUCUUGUGGACACGGAGCUUAAUGUUAGAAGGGUAGUUACAGGGAACCCUUGUGAAUGCAAUAUCCACCACCCCGCGUUUGAACAGCUCCUUAGAAGCAGCUACGUUGCGUGCCAAUCCUGAGAAUCCACGUUUGCUCAUUAUGAAGUCUGUUCCGUCUCCCGCACCAGAGUCUGUGGCCACCACCUGCACUCCUUUCCCGCAGUAUUGUGGAAUUUUGCACCUUACCUAACUCACCAUUUAUAUUAACAACAUUUAGUAGAAGGAUAAAGAUGCAUAAACACCCUCGUAUACUGUUUGACACUUUAUGAGAGAAAAAGAGACGAGUGCAAGUAUGAUUUGACGUGAAAAGAAAAAUAUAGAGAAAAACAAAGGUUUCAAAUCUAGGUUCAUAAUAUAUAUAAUGCCCAUAUCAUUAAUUAGUCUUAGUAGAAAUACCUCGCAUUCCAUGUAAAUAUUUUGUUGUAGUUAAUGAUGAUGAUGAAGCCUUGUUUUACUGAGGAUUGUUAGAAAUAAUAAAAUAUUGAUUAAUGAAAAGAAAGGAAAGGGAAGUACCCAAUAACAUGUGCCACAGCCAGCACCAUUCCUCCAUAGCCCAGAUACAGCAGCCACACUUCCAUUAUUAAUCGUUCUUCCAUAUUCUUCAAAGCCACAAGCUCCCCCUAAAAUAUUACACCAAUUGGUCCAUCACAUUAAUUAUGUUUCUAAAGAGAUGAGUAGUAUGAUGCCACACAGCCAAAAUGUACAUUAAUUUUAUUUCUAAAGAGGGCGUGUUACAGAAGAAGCAUGCAUAUGCAUCUUCAGAAGUAAGUAAUUAAUUCCUCAAAUGUUUUAAUUUGAUAGAAAGAAAACAGUAUCUACUAUCUAGUUUCAAAGUACAAAGGGUUAGUGGUGAAACAUGUAAAUGAGCUUCUUGCCCCCUCCCAAAACAUGACACAAACACAACCUAGUUCCUAGUCUGCAUACAAAUAUGAUACAAACUAUUUUAUUUAUACAAAACAAGCUCAUAAAAAUGAGUACAUAGCUAACUAGCUAUAGUUGGCUUACUUGGAUUCCCAAGGCCAUCAGGGGUAUUAUAAUAGCUUGCUCUGGAGUUCGUAAAGUAUUCGUUGCAGCUACAUAGUGCAGGGAAGAGCAAUAUUACACAAACAAGCCCAAGUUGGUGGUUAAGACUUAGUUCCAUGCCUAAAUGACAAGACAAAUUCUCAGGCACAAAGGAGAAAAAUGCAGCAAGUAAUUAAGAAUGACCAAUAGUGUGUGACAAGCUAAUGUAUAUAUGAAAAUGAGAGAAUGCUUUGAGAUGAGAUAGGAAGCAAAGAUAUAACGGAGUCCUAUUUAUAGUGUACCUUUAGCUUCAGUUCUUUUACACAUACCAGUGUUGCAUGGUAUUGUCAAUUGUCCGGUUUCCCUUGUUUUUUAGUCAGCUUUUUUAUGAGUUGAAUAUAAAGGGUUCUGUGAACUGUUCACUGGUUUUGAAUAGAAAAAUCUACGGAUGAAAAUUAAACUCUUGGAUAAGCACAGAAGAUCAGAACAACACUAUUAUGCGUUGGAUGCGUAAUUGAGAAAUUUGGGCAUAUUUUAUGUUUUAAUCCAACUUUAACUGAAAAUAAUAUAUUCUUUUUUCUUCAUCUAUUUUCUAACUUCUAUUUUUUGCCCCUCUAAGUGGUAGUUUUGCGUUUAUAUAUUUUUUGAACAAUGGCUUUUAAACUAUGGAUUGUCAGAGGUUUGCUUAUUAAUCGGGUCAAAACCAAAGGCUACGAGGUAACGAGGAAACAACAAAUUGAAGGAAUCUUAUAAACACCUUGUAUGUUAAGGCCAGACCAUAUUAUUUUAUCAUUUAAAUGAGAGAAGAUUUACAACAAUGCUAUAAAAUUUGUCUCAAACGGAUCAAAAAUGCUAUGGAGUUAGUGUGAUCUAAUGAGACAUUGUUAGUUUUGCGACUAAUUUGUAAUAAUAACUAUGAAAUGUUCCAUGAGUUUUUGAAUUGAGAAGUCAAAUAUUACUAAUGGGUGGUAAUGAUCACUAAAUGUAUUUUUAAUGGUAGAAUAUACGGUCUUUGUAGUAGCUAAGUUUCAAACGCAUGACUAACAAGAUGUUAUAAAUGCACAAGUCAUUGAAUCAUUAAAGGUUUUUUUAUAUGUAUUUGUUUUUUAUAUCUUAUAUCCUUAUUUUGUUUACCUUUGUCAUUUUUGAAAUUUUUAUUUUUUUUAUGCAUAAAUAUAUUUUAGAAAAAUUUAAUUCUAUGUAUAUAUAUAUAUAUAUAUAUAUAUAUAUAUAUAUAUAUAUAUAUAUAUAUAUAAAUUAUAUAUGAGAAUUUUAUUCAUCAUAUCUUGAUCUUGAAAUGCAUAAUAUGAUUUAUUCUCAUAUAAUUAAGUUUUACGUCUAAGUGAUACUUAUAAUUUUGAUUAAUUAUGGAUUAGCCACAACAUCUAUAUUUUAAUUAAAAUUAUAUAUUAAAUUGUUUAAAGAUGAUAUAAGGAAUUAGACAUAAUAUUGUGAUCAAUUAUACUUUAUAUAAUGAAUUUUAUUCCACAGGAAUUUUUAUUAUAUUUGUAUAAUUAAUUGGAAUAAAAUGAUAUAUUAUUGUUCAUGGUUUACCCACAGGGAUCAUGAGGUAUGCAUAAUUUGUGAAUUUUAUCAUAAAGUAAAUAUUUGUGAUAAAAAUUAAAUUAUUUUUAUGUUGUACCCGUAAAGCAUGAAUUUGAGUAUGUAAUUUGAUUAUUCUAUCAUAAGGUUUAAUGGUUUUGUAUUGAAUUAAAAAUUUAGCCCACAGGCAAUUUUUAUGUCACAAGAUUCAAUUUUCUAGUAUGUUUACACCGCCUUUGAAUUUUGUAGCUUCUCAAACUAUUAGUUUUUCCUGAUAUUCAAGAUGAUGUUCCCGAACUCAAAGGAGAUAACUAUAAGAUAUGGAAGGAGAGAAUUCUUCUGCAAUUGGGGUGGAUGGACAUAGACUAUGCUAUAAGGAAAGACGAACUACCUAUAAUCACUGAUGAAAGUAGUUCAGCUGAUGUUGCAUUAUAUGAGCGGUGGGACUACCCAACCGACUCCGCAUGAUGUUCCUUAAGAUCAAAAUCUCGGUCGGAAUACGUGGUUUUGUUGACCACCAUGAAAAGGUCUGAGACUUGCUUAAGGCCAUUGAUGACCAGUUCAUCACUUCAGAUAAAGCUUUAGCAAACACCCUGAUCAUGAAUUUCUCCUCUCUUCGGCUCACCAGUGUGAAAGGUGUGCGUGAGUACAUAAUUAAAAUGCGAGAUAUUUCAUCUCAACUUAAGAAAUAGGAGGUUGAUAUGUCUGAGUCUUUCUUGGUGCACUUCAUUUUGAACACUCUUCUGCAGGAAUAUGGGCCGUUUAAGAUUUCCUACAGCGCACAUAAGGACAAAUGGCUUAUCAAUGAAUUAAUGACCAUGUGUGUUCAGGAAGAAGAAAGGCUUGUAAUGGAGAUGAUAUGUCUGAGUCUUUCUUGGUGCACUUCAUUUUGAACACUCUUCUGCAGGAAUAUGGGCCGUUUAAGAUUUCCUACAGCGCACAUAAGGACAAAUGGCUUAUCAAUGAAUUAAUGACCAUGUGUGUUCAGGAAGAAGAAAGGCUUGUAAUGGAGAUGAGUGAGAGUCCAUUGCUGACAAUUGCUUGUUGGAAGAACAAAGCAACUAAGUCUUAAGCUAAUCAGAAGGAGAUUGGUAAAAUACCACCUCAAGCUGAAAUUAUGAAGGUGGCAAAGUGUUUCUUUUGCAAGAAGAAAGGACACAUGAAGAAGAAUUUUCCCGGAUUCCAAAAAUGACUUGAGAAGAAAAGUAAAUCAAUCCCAUUAGUAUGUUAUGGAUCUAAUAAGGUUAGUGUUAAUAGUAACAUUUGGUGGAUUAAUUCUGGACAUACUAUCCAUAUUGAAAAUUCUUUACACGGUAUGCAAAACCUAAGGAAACCAGUGGGAAGUGAGCAAAACAUUUUAUCAGGCAAUAAGUUAGGCUCACCUGUGGAGUCUAUUGGAACUUGCAUUUUAACAUUAAGUAGUAGCUUUAUUUUGAAAUUAGAAAGGACCUUUUAUGUAUCAAGUUUUUCUCGAAACUUAAUUUAUGUUUAUAGACUCGUACAUUUUUGGAUAUUCCUUUAAUUUUAAAGACACAUCGUUUGAGUUAUUUUAUAAUUCUGAAUGUGUUGGGAACGACAUCUUAUCUGAUGGUCUUUAUCUUCUUGGUUUAAAAAAUUAUGCCACUUAUAGUUCAAUGCAUGUUCAAACUGUUAUUAAAAGGUGUAAUAUUAAUGAGAAUUCCUCUAUGUUAUGACACCGGAGAUUAGGACAUAUCUCCAUUGAGAGGAUUAAAAGUUUAGUGAAAAAUGGGGUACUCAAUACUCUAGAUUUUUCUGACUUUAAGACUUGUGUGGACGACAUUAAAGGUAAGCAAACCAACAUGUCUACGAAAGGUGCUAACAUGAGUUCAAGUAUAUUAGAAAUAAUUCAUACUGAUAUUUGUUGUCCAGAUAUGGAUGCACGUGGUCAGAAAUAUUUUAUCACCUAUAUAGAUGAUUAUUCAUGAUAUAUGAAUGUUUAUUUGCUUCAUAACAAAAAUGAAGCAUUAGAUGCCUUCAAAGUCUUCAAGGAUGAAAUUGAGAAUCAAUGUGACAAGAAAAUAAAAAUAGUGAGAUUAGAUAGAGGUGGAGAAUAUUAUGGCAAAUAUAUUGAGAAUGGACAAGCACCUGAUCUUUUUGCAAAGUUUCUUAAAGAAAUGAGAUUGUUGCCCAGUACAUUAUGCCUGGUUCUCCAAAUUAGAAUGGUGUUGCGGAAAGAAGGAACCAAAUAUUAUUGGACAUGGUACGAAGUAUGCUUAGCAACUCUAAUCUUUCUAAAUCCUUGUGGGCUUAAGCACUAAAGACGAAAACGUAUACAUUAAACUAUGUUUCAACCAAGGCUGUCCCAAAGACACUUUUGAGUUGUUUAAAGGUUGGAAACUGAGUUUGAAACGUAUGCGCGUUUGGGGUUGUCCGUCUGAGGUGAGAAUAUAUAACCCACAAGAGAAGAAACUUGACCUAAAGACUAUUAGUGGAUAUUUCAUUGGAUAUGCCGAAAGAUCUAAAGAUUAUAUGUUUUACUGUCCAUAUCAUAUUACUAGGAUUGUGGAAUCAAGAAAUGCCAAAUUUCUUGAAAAUGACUUGAUUAGUGGGAGUGAUCAAUUGAGGGACAUAGGUUCUGAAAUUGAUUCUAUAGUGUCUCAACCUUCCACAUCAACUGAAAUAUUUAUUGUAAUUCAUACCCCUCAAGUUCAAAGGGAUGAUGAACAACACAUGAUUGACAUUCUACAACCUAUUGCUGAUAAUCCAGUAUGUUCUAAAACAAGCCUCAUGUCAGUGGUACCUUAAGUUUCAUGAAAUAAUUUCUUCAUUUGGUUUUGAUGAAAAACCCAUGGAUAAUGCAUAUACUACAAGGUCAGUAGGAGCAAAAUAUGUUUUCUUAUUUUAUAUGUAGAUGAUAUUUUACUUGUAGUUAAUGAUCGGGGUUUACUACAUAAGGUGAAACAAUUUCUCUCUAAGAAUUUUGACAUGAAGGAUAUGGGUAAUGCAUCUUAUGUCAUCGGCAUUAAGAUUCAUAGAGAUAGACCUUGAGGUAUUUUAGGUUUAUCAAAGGAAACCUAUAUUAACAAAAUUUUAGAGAGAUUUCAGAUGAAAGAUUGUUUACCAAAUGUUGCUCCCAUUGUGAAGGGUGAUAGGUUUAAUUUGAACCAAUGCCCAAAGAAUGACUUUGAGAGGGAACAAAUGAAAAACAUUUCUUAUGCUUCAGUUGUUCGAAGCCUCAUGUAUGCUCAAGUGUGCACAAGGCCUGACAUUGCUUUUGUAGUUGUAAUGUUAGGAAGAUAUUAUAGUAACCCAUGUAUUGACCACUAGAGAGUUGCUAAGAAAGUGAUGAGGUGCCUUCAGGAGACCAAAGAUUACAUGUUUAUGUAUAGACAGACAGACAAUCUAGAUGUGAUUGGUUAUUCAGACUCAGACUUUGCUGGUUGUGUUGACUCUUGCAAAUCAACAUCUGGGUACAUUUUCAUGAUGGCUGGUGGAGCUAUUUCAUGGAGGAGUGUUAAGCAGACUUUGACUACUACUUCUACCAUGGAAGCUGAGUUUGUCUCUUGUUUUGAGGCUACAUCACAUGGUGUGUGACUCAAGAGUUUCUUUUCUGGACUGAAGAUAGUUGAUACUAUUUCAAAGCCUUUGAGAAUUUUCUGCGAUAACUUAGUUGCUGUCUUUAUGGCUAAGAAUAACAAAAGUGGAAGUCCAAGUAAGCACAUCGACAUUAAAUACUUAGUCAUUAGAGAAAGAGUAAAAGACGAGAAAGUGGUCAUUGAACAUAUAAGCACUCACUGAUCCUUUAACUAAGGGCAUGCCACCGUUUAAAUUUAAGGAUCAUGUAGAAAGAAUGAGACUUGGUUCCACUUUAUAAUUAUAUACGUACAAGUUAAAAUUGAAACUUUUAUAUUGUGAUAUUUUCUCAUAUUCAGGUGCACAUUGAUUUAUUUGAGAAAAAUUAUGUUUUUGACCAAAAUAAACAUUAGGUUUAUUUAUUAAGUUUUAUUACCACUUUGAGUAUACUGCUUGGGAAAUUGAAUAUAUUGUAAUCAUGGAUGAUAUUACUCGUUAUAAGUAACCAUUAAUCAUAUAAUUAUCCAUAUUUCAAUUACCCAUAAACCAAUAAUCAUAUAAUUUAACAUCUAUUAUUUUAUGAGUAAUUGAAAUAAUCAUUAAUUUGAAAUUAAAUAACCUUAUAAAUUUGGUUACUUUGGUAACUAACAAAUUCAUCAUACAUUUAAUUCCAACCAAAUAUAUGGUCUGCACAUAUUUAUUGCUAUUAACUAUACAUAGUCAUUUUAUUAAUUUCAUUCCAAGCCAAAUAAAUAUCAUACAUUCACAUUAUAACCAAUAAAAUAAUAGAAAUUCAAUCACAUUGAAACAAAUGUAUAACAUAUACAUAUUUACUGAUAGACAUAAUUUUAAAACAUUCAUGUUAAUUUAAUUGCAGGGCAUAAACUUUCAAUCCUUUAAUCAUAUUUAAUAAUAAUAUUAAGAAAAAAAUGAACAAGUGAGAUUGAGAAUAACAAAAUGUAGAUUGCAAAUAGCAAUUCCAAAGAUUUCCCCUCUUUUUUUCCGGGAAAGGAACAAUGAAGGAAAUAAGAAAGUGCAUGCAGGCGCUUUACUUUUAGUUCCAAGGAAUAGGAACAACGUACAUGACUAGCCACUUUUUUUCUUUCUCCAAUAUUAUACUUUCUAAAAUAAAUCAACAAUUUUUAUUUUUUAUUUAUUUACAAAAUAUCAUAUUUGCAGUGGAAAAAUAAAAUUUUAAAAUUUCAUAAUUAGGGUUUAUAAUAAUUGGAAGAAAAUAAAUUAUUAUUGGAAAAUCAGAAAUUUCAUAACAUAUGUUCUGAUAUCACAUGUAAAAUUUUAAGGGUUCCCUAGAUUAACAAUUAUCCAAAAAAUAGGAUUUUGAAACUUAUGAUUCUCACAAAUAAUAAAUGAACAAUGCAUAUCUUUCUCCAUAGUGAGAUUUUUCUCCUGUGUACUUUGAUUUCUUGAAAAAAUGAUAAAAACAAGAUUUUAGUCCAUUGAAUAUUCUUUCUGUGUCUCUACGUUUUGUGAUGGUGAUGGUUAGACUCUCUCUAGUCUGAAGGGACCUUAUUUCACAUCAGUGGGUAUUAACCCUUACUAUAACAACUACUCCUGUUAGGUAACAGUUACCUUUAGAAACUUCUCAUAUUCAACCCAAUUACAAUUUAGUUCUUAAUUAUUAAUUAUUUAUUUAUUAGUUCAUACAUAAGUCACAUGUCACUUACAUGAGACAUCAAUUUUAACAUCUAUUCUAAAACGAAUCUGAGAGGAAGAAAGAAUGUAAGGACGUAUCGUAAAUAUAAAAACUAACAUAAUAUGUUUUUAUUUACAGUUAUAAUACUCUUAGCUUAUUAUUAACUCUAUUUUUCUUUAUUUUAUUAUUUUAUAAAAGGAAACCUAUUUUACAACUAUUAAAUGUAUAAAUAAAAUAUUUUUUUAUUUUCUAAGAACAUAUAUUUAUUUUAUUUGCCUUAAAAUCAUUAUUUUAAUUAAUAAAAUCAUUUAUUCUUAUUUAUUUAAUUAAAAAAAUCUCAUUAUUUUCCUAAUAUUCUAUGUAUUUUUAAAUAAAAUUAUUUUCAAUUUAUUUUACAAAAAAUAGGAUAUUACAUAUACUGAAUUCUAUAAAAAAAAAGGUUGUAUAUUCAAAAUUUUAAACAAAUUCAUAAUUAUGAAAAAAAACCUCCCUUAAGAGAAGUGAAUGUCAUUUUCCAUAAAAUGUGUAUCAUUUUUAUUUCUUUUAGAGUUUAUGAACUAUUUGAGUCUUGCGAGAUCUUUGUCGUCCAUAAUGAUCAUAUCCAACAACUCGAACAAGAUUAUUUGUCACAGAUAAUACAUGUGAUCUAGACUAAGAAAAAAUUAAGAACUAUUUUUAUUUCCGAUUAAUAGGGGUGUGUAUAUAGAUCGAUCGGGCCAGUUUAAGACUUAGCUCGUGAAGCUUGUGUUUUAAACGAGUCGAACAAAUCUGAUAUGUGAAAUAAAUGAUUUUUUUUUUAAAGAUCGUAUCUUACUCGCCAAAUCCACUAAUAAACAUACUAGUCCUUGGACCCAAAAAUGAUUUAAAAAAAUAUUUUUUGAAAAAUAAAUAAUGCAUAAAAUUAGAAGAUUUUUUUCUUUCAUAUUUUAAGUUAAAAUAUAUCACACUAAAAUAUAUAAACUUUUAUAAUAGUAUUAAAUACUAAAUAUUAAAGUGUUAAUACUAAAAUAUAUCAACGCUCAUGAUAGUCUCAAUAUUAAAAAUAUCAAAAUAUCUUACCAUACUGGUUUACAUCGGUAAUUCGCAAGUUAGUGUAUAAUAAUAAUUUUAAUUUUUCUCGUGUGUUUACAAACCAAACUAGGAGUAGAUCCCUUGCAAAUGCAUGAAUUUUUAAGUGGUGAAAAAGGAAAAUAGUGAGAAAAAAGGUGUGAGAGAGCAAAAAGAAAGUAAAAUUUUAAAAUGUUAUAAAAAAGAUAAAAUUGUGCCAUGUGGUGACAGUUUUUAUAUAGAUAUAAAUAUAGAUGAGGGCAAAUAAUAAAUGAACUUUUUUCCUAUCCGAUCAACCAAGCACACCACCAUCCAAAUAUUGAACCAAAAUCCUAUUUAUUUCCCAAAAUAUUCUUACUUAAACAUAAAAUCCUCAUCAAAUAUUCUUUUGAAAAAUAAAAUCUUGAAAAAAAGAAAAAGAUUUCUUGUGUAAAAGAUAAAAUCUUGAAAAAGGAAAAGUUAUUAUUUCAUUUAAGAAUAAAAUCUCAACCGAUUAAUAAAAGACACCAAGAUCAUUAAUAAUAACAUAAUUGUAACGGUAAUAACUCAAUUCAAAUUGAUCCUAAUCUACUAUGCACAAUAUAUAUAAUUCGCUUCGCCAAAAAGGUGAAUGACUUAAAUUAAGCAAUCGCAUCAUCUUCUCUGUGUUUUACAUCCCUCUUGCACCGUUCAGAGGGAAGAUUUGAUCAAUGGAAAACGAGAAUUGCACUUUUGUUGCUCAGCCUAUUCAAAGAAAGCGCAAACGUUAUGCCAUUCGUGAUUUCCCAGAAGGAUGUGGCUCCUAUGGCAAAAGGGUUGAUCCUAACAAUUUUCGCCAAUUAAAUGACACUAUUUUGGAGUUGGGACUGCAAGAUUUGGAAGAUGAAGAAUUGAUAAGUGCCGCUGAAGUUGUUGUAGCGUGUGACUCCUCCAAUGUGUCAAAGUUUUCUUCUUUUUCAGAAGGGGUUCUUUGUGAUGGUUCAGAAUUCUCAUCAUCUGAUGGCAACAGCAUAGAUGGUUCCGAUGCUGGUUUGAAGGAGAAGGCUGAAACUAAAGAGUCUCCUCGAAGAGAAUUAAUCAGAGACUUUCCUCCUUUAUGUGGACCACAUGCUUAUGCAGAUCAUGUGUGUAGAUUGCAAGGCAUUGAAGAUGAUGAUACUGAUGCAGAAGAAUUGGGUAAUGAUGUUCAAGAUGAAUCCAUGUGCCUGAAACAGGAGGUCAGUUAAGUUGAUUCUGAAGUGAAUGGUUCAAGAAAGUGAAGAAUUGUGUUGUUACAUAUGUCAUAAACUAAACUGCAUGUUCAAUUUUUCCUCUUUUAUCAAUGGUUUUCCUUGACUUUGUUGUUUAUUAGCAAUUCCUUACAUCUUCUUGUACACAUUACUAUUCUAUUAUGAUCUCUAGUUCUUUUGUAUGGUGUUAUCUAGCUUUUAUCCGUCCCUGCUUUCUUUUUCUUUCUUUCUUUCUUUAUUUCUUUCUCAUCUCACACUUUUCAUAAAAUCGAAGAUUAAUUGCAAAAGAAUUAUAAAGACAAAUCAUAAUUGACUAAUUUUCAAGGAUGAAAAAAAUUCUCAACCCUUCCGAUUAAAAAUGUGUCUACCUUUGAGUUUAAAGUAUAUAGAUUUACUCUUUUCUGCUGAAGUUUAAUUUACAUUUAGGAGAUUUAGGCCACAAAGAUUAAAUUGUUAAUCAUUGAAUCACAAAAACUCUAGUACCAUAUCAAGAGUCAAUUCCUUCCAUUUUUAUUUAUUCUUUCUUCUUUUCAUCCAUACACCUCAAAAAUUAGAUGUGCGCUUAUCAUUGCUCGUCAGAAUUUUACAAUUGAACAAAUCAAUGGAUUCCUUUUUUUGCUGGGCAAUCAAUGGAUUGACACUGCUGAAUCAAGGCAUAAUAGUUAGGCUCAGAAUUAUAGUCAUUUGCCGAUUGCCAUGUAUGACACUAUGUUACACGCACUUUCCUCCUGUUUUUUUUGAAACUGAAGCAACAUAUUCUAAGAUUGCAUUACAUGUGAUGUGAAUAAGCCCUCUACCAUGUCAGCAAAUGUCAGAGUUUUUCGUGAAGCAAUAAGAAAGUAAAGCAAUAAAAAUUCACAUAGUCAAUCAUCUUGAAAUAAAAGGGUUCAUCAAGUAAGAAAAAAAGACAUGUUGCCACAGUCAGAUAGAAGUCAUCCCUUUAAGCCUACCCACGAUUCCACGACCUUCUGGAACAAGGGUGGCAAUAAAAUUUAAGUUUAGGAUUUCAUACAAAUUAUCUAAACCUCAUAUUAAUAUCCCUCCAUACAGUCAUACCUAUAGGUGCUAAAUUUAUAUCCCAGUAGCUGAGUGUUAAGAACCAAAAGGAUACCUAGCAUUCGAGGCCUAGGUGCCUCCAGAGAAAAGGUAAGGAAAGAGAGUACUGUAUUAUUGCUUAACCAUUUUUGGAGUACAUUGUUAGUAUUUAUAGAGUUCUUUGUAGCUGUUCUCAUCUAACAAUUCUCUAAUGGUUUGUUGGCAUCUAGCCUUGGAGGAACGAAAAGUUACAAAAUAGCAAAAAGAGGAUCACAAUCCUAACGGAUUACUCUCAGCCAACAAAGGAUCUUUAGGAGCACCACUACCAUCAGGAGCAAUGCUGCCAGGACACUCCCUACUCCACUACUUGCUUACGAAGUCCUUGAGGUAAUAUGGUUUGCAAAUUUCCCUUUUUAGCCUUGGUCCUUCUCCCUUCUCUGUUUCUGUAUUCUCUUGCUGUGCCCUUGCUGUUUGCUGUGUUGUUUCUGCAUUUUUUUGCUCCCUUGCUGCAUUCUCCUGUUGUGUGAGUCUGUUCUCAACAUACCCUUGCGCUUCCAAAAUAACCUUGUCCUCAAGGUUAUAAUCCGCUUUCAAUUGUGCCCAAGGUUCCCAUGAUGUGUCUUCAGGUAGUAGGCCAGCCCAUUGCACGAGGACAAGUAAUUCACUAUCCUUCUCUGACUGAGUCCACUUAGUGUCCAAGAUAGCUAGGGGGGAAAUGAGUGGCUGGUGUUCUUCCGACGAAGCUGGUAGACUAAGAGGGGGACCUCCGGCGGGGUGGUGGAUGGAGUAUAUGGCUUGAGUAGUGAGCAGUGAAAUACUGGAUGUAUGCGUGAUGACUCUGGCAGGUCAAGCUUAUAGGUUACAGGCCCUAUCCUUUGCACAAUGCGGAAAGGCCCAUAGAACCUUUUGGCCAAUUUUGAAUAUUGACUUCCUGUAGCCGUUGACUGGCGCCGAGGUCGUAAUUUGACCAAGACCUGCGCGCCUUCCUCAAAUUGAACAUCCCUUCGUUGUUUGUCCGCACUCUCCUUCUUUUUCUACUGAUCCUUUAAUAACUUUUUUGUCAAACUAGAAAUCAUGGUGUCACGCUCGGUCAACCAAUCAUCCACUGCCGCCACAUUGGAAUCACCGGCCACAUACUGAGGGAUAUUAGGGGGCUUCUUGCCAAAGGUGAUUUCAUAUGGUGACUUGCCGGUAGCGGAGUGGAUGGAUGUGUUGUACGACCACUCCGGCCAUAGGAGGAAACGUCCCCAUGUUGUCGGUUUUUGGUGGACAAAAGCUCGGAGGUGUUGCUCGAUUACGCGAUUCAUCACCUCUAUCUGGCCAUCCAUAUGGGGGUGAUACGCCGUGCUCAUCUUGAGUUUGGUACCGCUUAGCUUGAAUAGUUCUUGCCAAAGGCGACUCACGAACAGGGGAUCUCGGUCGAGGAUGAGGCUGCGUGGCAUGCCAUGGAUUUUGCCAGCAAUCUCCAUAAAUAUCCUGGCCACAGUGGCAGCAGUGUAGUGCGCCGGAAGUAAACCUAUGUACACCCCGAGCUUUUCGUGCUGGCAUGGGAAGUGGACAGAGUAACCCCGAGCUUUUGCGAUGAUUGUUCUUAGUCUGCUGACAUACUAUGCAAGAAGAGAUAAAUAGCUUGACAUCCUGCUUCAUGAAAGGUCAGACAAAAUUUUCGUUAAUGCGCCCCAAAGUUUUUGCAAUGCCCAUGUGGCCGCCGGUGGGGGUGUUGUGAAACUCAGCGAGAAUAGUGGGGAUGACAUGGAGACCCUUGGGAAGCCAUAUGCGACCAUUUUGAAGGAUGAAGUCGUCGCGGAUGGAGCUGUCAGGGUAUUUGGAAGGAUCGGCUUGAAUUUGUUGACGAAAUUCGAGGAAGGCGGAGUUGUGGAGGAGCUCCUGUUUAAGUUCCUGCAAGAAAAGAUAAUUGAUAACCGUUAGAAGAAAGAGUUGGGUAAAGGGGGCUUUUGUCCGCCGGGAAAGGGCGUCUUCCGCCGCAUUGGAUUGGCUAGUGCGAUAGUGGAUGGAGUAAUCAUAGCCCAAUAAGUGUGCCAAAUAACGUUUGUUGUUCCGGUGUCUGAAUGACUUGACCCAUUAGCUCUUUGAGGUUGCGGUGGUCCGUGAGAAUGGUGAAGGGACUGCCCAACAAGUAUUGCCUUCCAUUUUUUAACGGCGGUGGUGAUGGCGGCGAGUUCCCUGACAUACGUGGAUGCAUGAAGAAGCUUAGGGCAAAAAGGUUUACUAAAGAAGGCUAUUGGAUGGUUCUUCUGGGACAGGACUGCUCCCAUGCCGACGUCGGAGGCGUUAGUCUCGACGCAGAGUGGGAUGGAGAAGUCUGGCAAGCUUAGCACAGGUGCAUUACACAGAGCCUACUUCAGGAUGAGGAAAGCUUGUUCAGCGUCAACGUUCCAGUGAAAGGAGUCUUUAGUUAGGAGAGUUGUGAGGGUAGCUACGAGUGAGGAAUAGCCUUUAGUGAACCUUAUCUAAAAUCCCGACAACCCUAGGAAGCCUCGUAGGGCUCGAGUGGAUCAGGGAACGGGCCAAUUCUGGAUUGCCUCAAUCUUAGCCAGCACUGGUUCCACUCCCCGGAAAGACGCUAUGUGACCAAGAUAUUCCACCUGAGAAGUUGCAAAAGAACACUUUGAAAGCUUCAGAAAAAAUUAGUGCAAGCUACGGAUUUCAAACGCUUUGCGAAGGUGCUCCAAGUGUUCUGGGAAUGUUUUGCUAUAAAUUAGAAUAUCAUAAAAAAAGAUGGUAACGAAUUUACACAAAUAAGGACCGAAGGUGCUGUUCAUUGUCGCCUGAAAGGUGGACGGAGCGUUGCAGAGGCCGAACGACAUUACGAGGAACUCGUAAUGGCCGUGGUGCAUCCGGAUGGCCGUCUUGGUGAUAUCAGACUCUGCCAUUAGAAUCUGGUGGUAGCCCUGCAUGAGGUCUAGUUUGGAAAACCAAGUGGUGCCACCUAGUUCGUCCAGAAAUUCGUCAAUUUUGGGUAUUGGGAAUCGGUGCUUAAUCGUUAGGUUGUUCAAAGCCCUGUAAUCAACACAAAACCGCCAAGAGCCGUCCCUUUUCUUAACCAGCAGGACCGACGACGAGAAGGGGCUCGUGCUCGGUCUGAUGAUGCCAGAUUGAAGCAUAUUGGCCACCUGAGUCUCAAUUUCGUGUUUUUGGAAGUAGAGGGUAACAAUAUGGUUUAACAUUGACAGGAGUUGCGUGAGGUUGAAGAUAGAUAGAGUGAUUGGUGGGUCGGGGAGGGGGAAGGGUGGAGGGUUGUUGAAAUAGAGGGGCAAAGUCGUUGAUUAAGGCGAAAAUAGCAGGAUGAGGAGUCGAGGAAGUGGUGAGGGAAGGGGAGGCGUGUAUGUAAAAAAAGGCACUGACAGAGUUCAUCUGGAUUAGUUGUCGGAGUUGUGGUGGGGAGAUGGCUUCUAAGUCUUUGGUGGUAUCUCCUUUAAGUUCAAUGAUAUUGCCACUGUGGACAAAUUUCAUGGUCAAGGUGAGACUGAGGUGCCUGACUAGCCGAGCCUGCACGAAGUUGUGCGUGCUGCUGCCGUCGAUGAGGAUGACGACGGGUUGGUUGGCGAUGCGUCCCAACAGGCGUAGUGUGUCGGAGUGACCCGAAAGUGCACAAAAGUUGAUCUGGGCCUGGGGCGGGUCUUGUUGGUUUGGGUCCUCGAGACACGGGUCAGGGUUUGUUAUAUUAGGGUUCGAAGGCUCCUCAAGCUUGUCGUUUUCCGCGAUGAGUAAAAAGAACCGUGAGGCGCAGUGAUGCCCUCGCGUGUAGCGCUCAUCACAGUUGAAGCGCAGAGGCUGUGCUCCCGGCGGCUUGCGAUCUCGGCGGGGGUCAGGCGUUUCCAUGGUAAGGGUGGUUUGGCCGGCGAAGGUAACAAUGGUGGGGUAGGUGAGGGUAAAGGAGGUGGUGGUGUGGGAGGUAGUGUAGGAAACGAAGAUGGUGUUGGGGGUGUGGGGCCGGGGGUAGUGCGACUGCGGUAGGGACGACGUUGCUCCGCGAGCUUGUCCUCCUGGAGAUGUGCCAACCCGACGGCUUGGACCAGGGUCAGAGGCUGGAGAACUUGGACCUCGCAGCGAAUAUCGGGGUUCAAACCCAAGAAGAAGCAACUCAAGCGGAGAGAUGGCGGAAGACCGACUAUCCGAUUUGCCAGAGCUUUAAACUGAUGCAGGUACUCACUCACCGAACCUGUUUGGGUUACCUUGAAGAGAAUUCCCGUAGGGUCCUCAUAGGGUGAAUGCGCAAAACGGGUCUCGAUGGCCUGCAAAAGUCCUGCCCAAGUGGGGAACCGGUGGUUGCACAUCAUCCACUGGAACCACGCUAAGGCGGGUCCUUCCAUGGUGAAGAAAACAAUGGUUAGACGCUCUAGUUCUGGGGUGGAGUGAUAGGCGAAAAACUGAGUGAUUUUGAACGCCCACCCAGAAGGGUCGGUGCCAUCAAAUUUAGGGACAUCAAGUUUCAUUUUGGGAGUGUUGAUGAGGGUGGUUUUUGGUACAGGGUUAGGCAAGGAAAAAGGUGAGGCUGAGGAGUUAGCAAUGUUUUCGAGAUUGGCCACGCGAAGGAGGAGAUCUUCUAAUUUGUCAGUAACGACAAUUUGGCUUGAAGCAAGAUGGGAGAUUGCUUCCUCAAUUCGUUCCAAUGCAGACUUAGUUAGAGGAGAGUUCGCCAUGGAAGAAGGCAAUGAAAGCACCAGAUUUGUUAAGAACCAAAGGGAUACCUAGCAUUCGAGGCCUAGGUGCCUCCAGAGAAAAGGUAAGGAAAGAGAGUACUGUAUUAUUGCUUAACCAUUUUCGGAGUACAUUGUUAGUAUUUAUAGAGUUCUUUGUAGCUGUUCUCAUCUAACAAUUCUCUAAUGGUUUGUUGGCAUCUAGCCUUGGAGGAACGAAAAGUUACAAAAUAGCAAAAAGAGGAUCACAAUCCUAAGGGAUUAGUACUCUCAGCCGACAAAGGAUCUUCAGGAGCGCCACUACCAUCAAGAGCAAUGCUGCCAGGACACUCCCUGCUUCACUACUUGCUUACGAAGUCCUUGAGGUCAUAUGGUUUGCGAAUUUCCCUUUUUAGCCUUGGUCCUUCUCCCUUCUCUGUUUCUGUAUUCUCUUGCUGUGCCCUUGCUGUUUGCUGUGUUGUUUCUGCAUUUUGUUGCUCCCUUGCUGGAUUCUCCUGUUGUGUGACUCUGUUCUCAACACUGAGACUACUUAAACGUUGAAUUCAAAAAAAUAAAUUAAAAUGAAGAUAUACUUCAUUUAAUCAUGGUGGUUUCGAGCUGAGGAUACCAGUUGCUCCAAUAGCCGGCGCUAAACAACAUGGCAGACAAGGCAGUCACCAUCCGAACCAGAAUGUUUAUGACAACCAGGCUUCUCUCCGGAAAGCAGUUCGUCAUUGAUGUCCUUCAUCCAGGGAGCGCUAAUGAUUCCAAGGCUGAACUGAAGGAGAAGCUAAGGAGAAUGUAUGACGAGAAAGACACCAACCCUGUAUUUGCCUUCAAGUUCCGAACUCAUUUUGGUGGUGGGAAAUCCACUGGGUUUGGUGUUUAAUUUAUAUGAUUCAGUUGAGAAUGCUAAGAAGUGUGAGCCUAAGUACAGGCUUAUCAGGAAAGGAAGAGAAAUCAAGGAAGCAAAUGAAGGAGAGAAAGAAUAGAGCUAAGAAGAUUCGUGGAGUUCAGAAGACCAAGGCUUCUGAUGCUGCCAAGACUGGAAAAAAGAAAUGAGUUUUCAAACAUCCUGUCCUAAUUUUAAGGUUCUUUCGCUCUUAGUAUUUUUAAUAGCUUUCCUAGAAUGAGAUAUUUUUCUGUAAGUGUUGCAUUAACUGAUGUCCAGUUAUAGAUUGAGUAGUGGCAUGAUCAAUUUUGAGAAUUCAGUUGAACACUUUUGUUUUCAAAUAUUUAGUGUUGUGUUAAAGAAUUCCGGUGUUGCUUGAUUUGGGAUGGACCAGUCGACUAUUGUCACAAAAGCAUUUUAAGUGCCUUGUUAUGACUGAUAAUAGUCUAAUAUUUGUACUCCAUUUAGUCCAUGAAAGCCAAUAUGUAAAUUACUCCCUUCUGCAGCCUAUUAAGAUGCCUACUCAAAAGUUGUGUUUAAAGAGGUUGUCAAUUUUUGAAUUCCUACUUUCCUUGUCCUUGAAUUUGAAUGGGAAGUUAGAAAAAAUGAAAUGCCUAGGAAAAUGACACAGGAACCAAAUUUGAAAGAAAAUGUUGCUACAGUUAUAUCCAGUCUGGUCACCGGUGUAAAGUACACCAAAUAUUUUAAGAAUGAUCAAUAUAUGCUGCAACUUGUAUUUUUAAUUAAAUCAAGGUGCUCAUGAGCUAAGUCAAUUGUGAGGUAUGCUCUAUGAUGUGAACCGGGUUAAGGUAAAAAUAGAAUCAAAGGAAUCAAACCAUAACUCAUUUUCACACAUACAAAUUCAAAUGAUGACUGAACCUUUGGUUUGAGUGCCUGAAGAACAGAACAGAAGAUUGCAAAUCAAGUCCAGUCAGCACGAAAGAGCAUACGCUAGUUACAAUGUGGAUUAUAUAUGCUCAAGUAGCGUAUGACUGAUCUGCAUCUUUGUAGCGCAGAAUAAACAAUCCACAUUUUACUGUGUAGUAUGAAAAUGUGAAUUCCUAGCCAUUUAUAGUUUAUUAAAUUAUACGUGUAGCAGUGAUAUAAUAAUAGCAAUAUAGGCAAAAUUAAAACCAAUAAAGUUAUGGUUCAUUUGUUAACAAAUAUGCUCGUUUGGAAUAGCAAGCUACAAGCUUUCCUUUCUUGUAAAAGAUAAAAAAGUUCACUUAUAUAAUUCUUUCAUUCAUGCUUGAAACAAGUAAAAUAAUCCAACUAAGCAUAAACUAAUACAAGUAGAAGGAUAAGAAAAACCAGUAAAUGAUCAAACCAAACUGUAUUUUAUUCAUAUUCCAUGUAGUCUUAGAUACAUGGAAAUUUGAUCACAUGAACCCCAUUAUUCUAGUCCCUUUUUUUGACACAAGUAAAUUAACAAGAAACAACAUUGAGUGACACUACUUAAUUAUAACAAACAAAUUAACGGAAUAAGUGAUGACUAGUACUACUUAUUAGUUGUAGUAUGUUCCUGGGGUUUGGAACCAGUGCAUGUAUAUUUAAUUUCCUUUCUCAUAAAUCUGGACUUUGGUGUCAUAAGUAGCACCAGGCUUCCAAUUAGCAGGGAUUGGGUUAUUUGAAGGCAGCCAAUAUCCAUAGCCAACUUGAAACCUCAAGAGAAUUGCACCACUGGGUGGGUUAGCAUAGUCAAACACUGCCCCAUACACCCUGCGUAGUGGCUCCCAACGUUUCUGCCCUCUCUGCACAACAUUUCAAUAACCAAAUUCAGUUCAACUACACAGAGGGACAAGUAUUUUGAACGUAUGGAAGCACUCUCAAGUAAUACUAAACUAACUAAAUCAACCAUUAAAGCAAAUACACAUGCCUAUAUAUAGUAAAGUUGCAGUUUCUAUCUACUAAUUGAUUUAAAAAUCAUUGUACAUUAAGAAUUGAAUGUAUGAUAAAUUUAUCGGUUGAAUAGUCAUAUAUUGUCAAUCAAUCAUAAAUUCUGUUGUUAUUAGUAGAACUUUUAAGGUAGUUAUUAUAAAAAUUAACAAAUCUAUCAUAUAUGAUGAUUUGUAACUCAAUGAUAAUGUACAAUUAUUUUACAUUGUCAAUGCAUAACCUAUGUUUUCUACAUGCGUGUGGGAGCACGUGCAUGUAUAUAUACCUGCCACAUCUCAACAGCCGUGAUGUCGCGUACUCCAUUUACGUUGAGAAGCAGGACAGCUAAGUAGCCAGGGUUUUUGCUGCUCUUGUGGACACGGAGCUUAAUGUUAGAAGGGUAGUUACAGGGAACCCUUGUGAAUGCAAUAUCCACCACCCCGCGUUUGAACAGCU